rnacentral:tRNA from 1 species
UGCGGGGUGGUGUAAGGGUAGCACGACUGGCUCUGGACCAGUUAGCGGAGGUUCGAAUCCUCCCCCCGCAGCCA